rnacentral:rRNA from 1 species
CCCAAAAGUUCGRRRGGAGAGAMMMMKCGUCAGMGANCCUGGCAAUUGUGCGGUUCGCGAUGCCGGGUACUUCGGUCCCGUGGCACGCGUCCGUAUGAUUUAUUUGCCGGGUGUCGUCGUCGUGCACUUCUCCCCUAGUAGGACGUCGCGACCCGUUGGGUGUCGGUCUACGACCCGGGUGGGUGCCUGUCAUGUGUGACGCUUCACGGCGUCAUGUGGCAGACCCCCGGUUGUCUGACCAGCUGCCCGGCGGUACUCGCACGGUAUUGAGUCGCAAAUUGAAUUGCGUCCGGCCCGCCGCAAGCGAGGCCAGUGCUUCCCGGAUGUACGGACUUAGCGCCGUCGCCGGGCCUGGCCAGCUGUUGGCUGGCGGUGUCCUGGGACUGGCUCUAAAAAUACCGA